GAUGAACGCUAGCGACAGGCUUAACACAUGCAAGUCGAACGGCAGCACGGGUGCUUGCACCUGGUGGCGAGUGGCGAACGGGUGAGUAAUACAUCGGAACAUGUCCUGUAGUGGGGGAUAGCCCGGCGAAAGCCGGAUUAAUACCGCAUACGAUCUACGGAUGAAAGCGGGGGACCUUCGGGCCUCGCGCUAUAGGGUUGGCCGAUGGCUGAUUAGCUAGUUGGUGGGGUAAAGGCCUACCAAGGCGACGAUCAGUAGCUGGUCUGAGAGGACGACCAGCCACACUGGGACUGAGACACGGCCCAG
rnacentral:rRNA from 1 species